rnacentral:rRNA from 1 species
GGCCUUGACAUACUAAGAACUUUCCAGAGAUGGAUUGGUGCCUUCGGGAACUUUAGAUACAGGUGCUGCAUGGCUGUCGUCAGCUCGUGUCGUGAGAUGUUGGGUUAAGUCCGCAACGAGCGCAACCCUUUUCCUUAUUUGCCAGCGGGUAAUGCCGGGAACUUUAAGGAUACUGCCAGUGACAAACUGGAGGAAGGCGGGGACGACGUCAAGUCAUCAUGGCCCUUACGGCCAGGGCUACACACGUGCUACAAUGGUCGGUACAAAGGGUUGCUACCUCGCGAGAGGAUGCUAAUCUCAAAAAGCCGAUCGUAGUCCGGAUCGCAGUCUGCAACUCGACUGCGUGAAGUCGGAAUCGCUAGUAAUCGCGGAUCAGAAUGCCGCGGUGAAUACGUUCCCGGGCCUUGUACACACCGCCCGUCACACCAUGGGAGUUUGUUGCACCAGAAGUAGGUAGUCUAACCGCAAGGAGGACGCUUACCACGGUGUGGCCGAUGACUGGGGUGAAGUCGUAACAAGGUAAGCGUAGAUGA